AAUGGCUCAUUAAAUCAGUUACGGUUCCUUAGAUAUUGACUAUCUACAUGGAUAACUGUGGUAAUUCUAGAGCUAAUACAUGCACUAAAGCAAUGACCCUACGGGAAAUUGCGCACUUAUUAGACCAAGACCAAUGGGGCAUUUCGGUGUCCCUUUUGGUGGUGACUCUGGAUAAUUUUGCUAAUCGCAUGACCUAUGUGUCGGCGAUAAAUCUUUCAAGUGUCUGCCUUAUCAACUGUCGAUGGUAGGUUAUGCGCCUACCAUGGUUGUAACGGGUAACGGGGAAUCAGGGUUCGAUUCCGGAGAGGGAGCCUGAGAAACGGCUACCACAUCCAAGGAAGGCAGCAGGCACGCAAAUUACCCACUCCCGGCACGGGGAGGUAGUGACGAAAAAUAACAAUACAGCACUCUAAUGAGGCGCUGUAAUUGGAAUGAGAACAAUCUAAAUCCUUUAACGAGGAUCUAUUGGAGGGCAAGUCUGGUGCCAGCAGCCGCGGUAAUUCCAGCUCCAAUAGCGUAUAUUAAAGUUGUUGCGGUUAAAAAGCUCGUAGUUGGAUCUCAGUUCAAGCCAGCAGGUCCACUUGCCAGUGGUUACUUGUUGGCUGAACACAUUACCGAGUUGUCCCAUGUUGCUUUUAAUCGAGUGAUAUGGGCGAUCGGUACGUUUACUUUGAAAAAAUUAGAGUGCUUAAAGCAGGCGUUACGCCUGAAUAUUGUUGCAUGGAAUAAUGGAAUAUGUAGGUAACUCUGUUCUGUUGGUCUUCGGAGGUUUCCUAAAUGGUUACAGGGACAGACGGGGGCGUUUGUAUUGCGGCGCUAGAGGUGAAAUUCUUGGACCGUCGCAAGACAAACUAAAGCGAUAGCAUUCGCCAAGAAUGUUUUCAUUAAUCAAGAACGAAAGUUAGAGGUUCGAAGGCGAUCAGAUACCGCCCUAGUUCUAACCAUAAACGAUGCCAACCAGCAAUUCGCUUGAGUUCCUUAAAUGACUCAGCGAGCGGCUUCCGGGAAACCAAAGUUUUUCGGUUCCGGGGGAAGUAUGGUUGCAAAGCUGAAACUUAAAGGAAUUGACGGAAGGGCACCACCAGAUGUGGAGCUUGCGGCUUAAUUUGACUCAACACGGGAAAACUUACCCGGCCCGGACACUGGGAGGAUUGACAGAUUGAGAGCUCUUUCUUGAUUCAGUGGGUGGUGGUGCAUGGCCGUUCUUAGUUGGUGGAGCGAUUUGUCUGGUUAAUUCCGAUAACGAACGAGACUCUAGCCUACUAAAUAGACCGCAGACUUUUAAACGUCUGCGGGACUUCUUAGAGGGACAGGCGGUGAUUCAACCGCACGAAACAGAGCAAUAACAGGUCUGUGAUGCCCUUAGAUGUCCGGGGCCGCACGCGUGCUACACUGAAGUGAUCAGCAUGCAUAAGGUUCCUGCUCCGCCAGGAGUGGGUAACCCAUUGAACCUUCUUCGUGAUUGGGAUAGGAGAUUGUAAUUAUUCUCCUUGAACGAGGAAUAUCCAGUAAGCGCAAGUCAUAAGCUUGCGUUGAUUACGUCCCUGCCCUUUGUACACACCGCCCGUCGCUACUACCGAUUGAAUGAUUUAGUGAGGUCUUCGGACUGGCCGGCUCAGCUAAUUUCGGUUGGCAGAGCUGUGCUUGGAAAGAUGCCCAAACUUGAUCAUUUAGAGGAAGUAAAAGUCGUAACAAGGUUUCCGUA
rnacentral:rRNA from 1 species